rnacentral:lncRNA from 1 species
GUGCCAUAAUACUUUCCUGACCUCUUUUCUUAAACCGUGAUAGAGGGAGGCGGGAAGUAAAGGUCCAGAUCCCGAAAUCCCGGGCUUAAAAACAUGAAAUACAGAGGUCCCGAAUUUAAAUAAAUUUCAAUCCCGACAUCCCGCAUUUCGGAAAUAGAAUUUCCGGAUGCUUAAAGAGUUAAUCCUGAUAUCCCGAGCUUAAAAACACCCGAUCCGGAGUCCUGAUAAAGGUCCUAUCCUAAAAUAUUAUAUUCUAUUCAUUCAUAAUCUUGAAUUGAGACUUGUUACUUCAAAAUUCCAUUCUCUUAUUUUGAAUGAUGCACACAGG